GGGCCAUUAGCUCAAUUGGAUAGAGCGCGACGCUUCGGACGUUGAGGUUGUGGGUUCAAGUCCUACAUGGCCCGCCA
rnacentral:tRNA from 2 species